GUAUUGAUUGCGUGUGACCGCAAAAAUAACAUUCUACACUGUAUCAAGUUUUGUGUGAAAACGUGAGCCCUCCUGCAAAGGGGACCCACGCGGUGAUGCACAAAGGGUGAGAUGGAUUGUGUGAGAGGGCUCGGGCGUGCACGACCGGGGAAGGUCAGCGACAGCCCUCGCGCCUCGGUUUAACGAUAAUGAUCCUUCCGCAGGUUCACCUACGGAAA
rnacentral:misc_RNA from 1 species